UACAGAGGGUGCAAGCGUUAAUCGGAAUUACUGGGCGUAAAGCGUGCGUAGACGGUUAUGUAAGUCAGAUGUGAAAGCCCCGGGCUCAACCUGGGAAUUGCAUUUGAGACUGCAUAGCUAGGGUGCGGAAGAGGGAAGCGGAAUUUCCGGUGUAGCGGUGAAAUGCGUAGAUAUCGGAAGGAACAUCAGUGGCGAAGGCGGCCCUCUGGUCCAGUACUGACACUCAAGUGCGAAAGCGUGGGGAGCAAACAGG
rnacentral:rRNA from 1 species